rnacentral:rRNA from 1 species
UGGGGAAUAUUGGACAAUGGGCGAAAGCCUGAUCCAGCCAUGCCGCGUGUGUGAAGAAGGUCUUCGGAUUGUAAAGCACUUUAAGUUGGGAGGAAGGGCAGUAAGCGAAUACCUUGCUGUUUUGACGUUACCGACAGAAUAAGCACCGGCUAACUCUGUGCCAGCAGCCGCGGCAAUACAGAGGGUGCAAGCGUUAAUCGGAAUUACUGGGCGUAAAGCGCGCGUAGGUGGUUCGUUAAGUUGAAUGUGAAAGCCCCGGGCUCAACCUGGGAACUGCAGCGAAAACUAGCGAGCAGGAGUAGGGCAGAGGGUCAUGGAAUUUCCUGUGUAGCGGUGAAAUGCGUAGAUAUAGGAAGGGACACCAGUGGCGAAGGCGACCACCUGGGCUCAUACUGACACUGAGGUGCGAAAGCGUGGGGAGCAAACAGG